GGGUGCGUGGCGGAACUGGUAUACGCGUACGGUUCAGAACCGUAUCCCGCAAGGGUUGGGAGUUCGAGUCUCCCCGCACCCACAA
rnacentral:tRNA from 1 species